rnacentral:rRNA from 1 species
UACAGAGGGUGCAAGCGUUAAUCGGAAUUACUGGGCGUAAAGCGCACGUAGGUGGAUAAGUAAGUUGGGUGUGAAAUCCCCGGGCUCAACCUGGGACUGGCAUUCAAAACUGCUUUUCUAGAGUAUGGUAGAGGGGAGUGGAAUUUCCGGUGUAGCGGUGAAAUGCGUAGAUAUCGGAAGGGACACCAGUGGCGAAGGCGACUCCCUGGACAACACCUGACACUGAGGCACGAAAGCUAGGGGAGCAAACAGG